rnacentral:rRNA from 1 species
AUGUGUAUAAGAGACAGGUCAUAUGCUUGUCUCAAAGAUUAAGCCAUGCAUGUCUAAGUACAAGCCUCACUAAGGUGAAACCGCGAAUGGCUCAUUAAAUCACACCUAAUGUACUGGACAGUCUCAGUUACUUGGAUAACUGCGGUAAUUCUGGAGCUAAUACAUGCGUACUAGCCGCGACUCACGGAGCGGUGCUUUUAUUAGAUCAAAACCAAACGGCCUCGAGCCGUCCCCCUGGUGAUUCUGAAUAACUUUGGGCUGAUCGCACGGACUCGUUCCGGCGACGUGUCCUUCCAAGGUGUGCCCUAUCAACUGUCGACUGUGGCAUAGACGCCCACAGUGGUUUUGACGGGUAACGGGGAAUUAGGGUUCGAUUCCGGAGAGGGAGCCUGAGAAACGGCUACCACUUCUACGGAAGGCAGCAGGCACGCAAAUUACCCACUGGCCGAAGGCCGAGGUAGUGACGAAAAAUAACGAUACCGGACUCAUCCGAGGCCCGGUAAUCGGAAUGAGUACACUUUAAAUCCUUUAACGAGGAACAAUUGGAGGGCAAGUCUGGUGCCAGCAGCCGCGGUAAUUCCAGCUCCAAUAGCGUAUAUUAAAGUUGUUGCGGUUAAAAAGCUCGUAGUUGGAUCUCGGCGGGCAGGGGGUGGUUCGCUCUUCAGCGCUACUGCCCCGCUUUGCCCGUGUGAUUGGCGGAGGUUUCGGGGUGCUCUUCGUUGAGUGACUCGGAGCGCCGUCAGGUUUACUUUGAAAAAAUUAGAGUGCUCAAAGCAGGCUUUUCACGCUUGAAUAUUCGUGCAUGGAAUAAUGGAAUAGGAACUCGUUUCUAUUUUGUUGGUUUUCGGAAAUCGAGUUAAUGAUUAACAGGGACAAUUGGGGGCAUUAGUAUUCAGACGACAGAGGUGAAAUUCUUGGACCGUCUGAAGACUGACUACUGCGAAAGCAUUUGCCAAGAGUGUUUUCAUUAAUCAAGAACGAAAGUUAGAGGUUCGAAGGCGAUCAGAUACCGCCCUAGUUCUAACCAUAAACGAUGCCAGCUAGCGAUCUGCCGAGUUUUUUUUGUAGGCUCCGCAGGAAGCUUUCGGGAAACCAAAGCUUUUGGGUUCCGGGGGAAGUAUGGUUGCAAAGCUGAAACUUAAAGGAAUUGACGGAAGGGCACCACCAGGAGUGGAGCCUGCGGC